rnacentral:rRNA from 1 species
AGGGUUCGAUUAUGGCUCAGAUUGAACGCUGGCGGAUGUUUUACAUGCAAGUCGAACGGCAGCACGGACUUCGGUCCAGGCGAGUGGCGAACGGUGAAGAUUAUCGGAACGUGCCUAGUAGCGGUGGAUAAUCUACGCGAAAGUGGUAGCUAAUACCGCAUACGCCCUUCGCUGGGGGAAAGCGGGGACUCCGCCUCGCGGCACCAUUAGGAGCGGGCUGAUAUCGGAUUAGCUAGCUGGUGUGCAAUGGCUCACCGCUGCGACGAUCCAGCUGGUUUGAGACGACCAGCCACCAAGGCUGAGACACGGCCCAGACUCCUACGGGAGGCAGCAGUGGGGAAUUUUGGAAUGGGGAAACCCCGAUCCAGCCAUCCUGCGCAAAGAUGAAGGCCUUCGGGUUGUAAAGCACUUUUUGGCAGGAGAAGAAACGAGACGGGAUAAUACCCCGUGCAACUGACGGUACCCGGCAGAAUAAGCACCGCCAACUACGCCAGCAGCCGCGGUAAUACGUAGGGUACAAGCGUUAAUCGAAUUACCGGCGAAGCGUGCGCAGGCGGUUCGGAAAGAAAGAUGUGAAAUCCCAGAGCUUAACUUUGGAACUGCAUUUUUAACUACCGAGCGAGCGAAACAGAGGGAGGAAUUCCGCGUGUAGCAGUGAAAUGCGAAGAGGCGGAGGAACACCGACGGCGAGCAGCCUCCGGGAUAACACUGACGCUCAUGCACGAAAGCGUGGGGAGCAAACAGGAUUAGAUACUCCCAGCAGUCCACGCCCUAAACGAUGUCAACUAGCUGGGGCCUUUCGCCUUGUGCAGCGCAGCUAACGCGUGAAGCGACUGCCUGGGGAGUACGGUCGCAAGAUUAAAACCAAAGGAAUUGACGGGACCGCACAAGCGGUGGAUGAUGUGGAUUAAUCUGAUGCAACGCGAAAACCUUACCUACCCUUGACAUGUCUGAAUCCCGAAGAGAUUUGGGAGGCUGCAAGAGAACCGAACAUGGGUGCUGCAUGGCUGUCGUCAGCUCGUGUCGUGAGAUGUUGGGUUAAGUCCCGCAACGAGCGGCAACCCUUGUCAUUAGUUGCUAUGAAAGGGCACUCUAUCGAGACUGCCGGUGACAAACCGGAGGAAGGUGGGGGAUGGACGUCAAGUCCUCAUGGCCCUUAUGGGUAGGGCUUCUACAACAGUGUCUACAAUGGUCGUGACAGAGGGCCGCCAACCUGCUGAGGGAAAGCCAAUCCCAGAAACCUGAUCGUGUAGUCCGGAUCGCAGUCUGCAACUCGACUGCGUGAAGUCGGAAUCGCUGCAAUCGCGGAUCAGCAUGUCGCGGUGAAUACGUUCCCGGGUCUUGUACACACCGCCCAAAGGUCACACUCAUGGGAGUGUUUUACCAGAAGUAGUUAGCUCAACCGUAAGGAGGGCGAUUACCACGGUAGGAUUCCACAUCAGUGGGAAGCUCGUGGUCAGCAG